AUGUGCGGGGCACCGGGCGGGGCGACACCGGGCGGGGCGGCCCCGGCCCCAUCGAUCCCCGCCACGGCCCCCGAGCGAACCGACAGCUGCGCGGGGCAGCGCCCCGACGGGCCCGAGGCUGACAGCGCUGCCCGGGGCUUCGGAACACCCGCAGGAGCUCCGGGGCACCGGCACAGCCCUGGAACCGGGAACCGCCUCUCCCGGCCCGGGCAGCCUCCGCAUCCUCGCCGGUCCCGGCUGCCCCCCGCGCGGAGCGGGUUAGCUACCUUCCUUUUUAUUUUUUUCUGUCUUCCAAUUUAUGCCUUCCCGGUUUUUUAUUUUAAUUUUUUUUUUCCCCUCUCAAGGAUGAGGAAAACAGACGUGAAAGAGAGCGAGGGCAGUGGGUACAGGCGGGGGAUGCUGCGGGCCCCCGCGGCUCGGACCUUUCCAUCCGCCCUUCCCCUCCCGGUCCCCCGCCGGGCUCAGCCCGCGGGGACGGGGACAGGGGCGGGCUUGGGGCCGGGGCCAGGCGGUGACACCUCCCCGGAGCGGCGGCUCCGACGGGCAGCAAAGCGCAGAGGAAAGAGAAAAGUCCCUCCGCACCGCCCCGGUACCGACCGGCCCCUGGAAGGUAAAAGCGAAUUAAUUUUUAUUGACCAAAAAAAAAGAAAAAACAUAAAGAAGGUUCAUGGCGGUGGCCGGUGCUCCUCGGCCCCGGACUGCGCUGCGAGCGCCGGUAACGGAACCGCGGCGAAGUUCCCGGCGCCUCCGCUGUGCCCUCGGCGGUCGGGUGGCCCCGGGCCCGCCGCCCCCUCCCCACCGGAGCGUCCCGGGCCGCAGUCCCGCAGUCCCGCAGUCCCGGCCCCGCCGCGCCGCUCCUCCCGGGAAAAGCGGCCCGCUCGGGCUUCUCCUCGACUCCGCACCCCGCGGGGACCCGCUGCUUGCCGUGGGGGAACGGACACCCACGCGGGAUCCCGUUUGUCGCCGGUCCCUAGCGAGGCGCUCCGUGACCCCGCGGGGGUGCCGGAGCCCACCGAGCGGCACCGCGCCCGCGCCCGUUCUCCCGCACACCUACCGGGCCGGCCGUCGGCGGGGCGAUGGCUCGGUGCGCCGCUCGGUGCGCCGCUCGGUGUGCCGGUGGGUCGCUCGGCGGGGCCGGCAGCGGAGGCGCCCCGGCGGCUCUAUAAAGGGGCGCGGACGCCCCGUCCGGCGGCGGCGCGGCGGGCGCGGGGGGGCGGCGGCGGCGGCGCGGAUUGGCCGCGGCGGGCGGUGACGUGA
rnacentral:lncRNA from 1 species